CCCGCUGAGUUUAAACAUAUCAAUAAGUGGAGGAAAAGAAACUAACAAGGAUUCCCUUAGUAACGGCGAGCGAACCAGGA
rnacentral:ncRNA from 2 species